rnacentral:rRNA from 1 species
UACGUAGGGGGCAAGCGUUGUCCGGAAUCAUUGGGCGUAAAGCGCGUGUAGGCGGCCCAGUAAGUCCGCUCUGAAAGCCCGGGGCUCAACCCCGGGAGGCGGGUGGAUACUGCUGGGCUUGAGUCCGGAAGAGGCGAGUGGAAUUCCCGGUGUAGCGGUGAAAUGCGCAGAUAUCGGGAGGAACACCAAUGGCGAAGGCAGCUCGCUGGGACGUGACUGACGCUGAGACGCGAAAGCGUGGGGAG